rnacentral:rRNA from 1 species
CCUGGCUCAGAUUGAACGCUGGCGGCAUGCCUUACACAUGCAAGUCGAGCGGCAGCGCGGGGGCAACCCUGGCGGCGAGCGGCGAACGGGUGAGUAAUACAUCGGAACGUGUCCAGUAGUGGGGGAUAGCUCGGCGAAAGCCGGAUUAAUACCGCAUACGAUCCACGGAUGAAAGCGGGGGACCGCAAGGCCUCGCGCUAUUGGAGCGGCCGAUGUCGGAUUAGCUAGUUGGCGGGGUAACGGCCCACCAAGGCGACGAUCCGUAGCUGGUCUGAGAGGACGACCAGCCACACUGGAACUGAGACACGGUCCAGACUCCUACGGGAGGCAGCAGUGGGGAAUUUUGGACAAUGGGCGCAAGCCUGAUCCAGCCAUGCCGCGUGAGUGAAGAAGGCCUUCGGGUUGUAAAGCUCUUUCGGCGGGGACGAAACGGUCCGUGAGAACACCACGGACUAAUGACGGUACUCGCAGAAGAAGCACCGGCUAACUACGUGCCAGCAGCCGCGGUAAUACGUAGGGUGCAGGCGUUAAUCGGAAUUACUGGGCGUAAAGCGUGCGCAGGCGGCUCCUUAAGUCAGAUGUGAAAUCCCCGGGCUUAACCUGGGAACUGCGUUUGAU